AAGUCGUAACAAGGUCUCCGUAGGUGAACCUGCGGAGGGAUCAUUACCGAGUGAGGGCCCCCGGGCCCGACCUCCAACCCUUUGUAUUCCGACCCUGUUGCCUCGGGGGCGACCCGGCCCUCUUGGGCGUCGGGGCCCCCCGCGGACCACUCAACCCUGCAUCCAUGCGUCUGAGUCAAACGAUAAAUCAAUCAAAACUUUCAACAACGGAUCUCUUGGUUCUG
rnacentral:misc_RNA from 1 species